CCCAUUUCUCGGCUGAAUUUCUUUAGAGCCUGCAUAUUCUCAAGAGCAGAUUCACAAGUUAUCGGGGGUUGGGCCCCCUUUGGCAGGAAGAAUGAUUGUUAUCAUCCAUGUUAUUGUUGUCCAAAUUGUUAUUUCUGUUUCAUGGAGACCAAGGUCGGGACCAGAAGAAUCUGUUGCCUUUCCCAUAUGAUUUUAACUCAGCUCAGGAAAUUCUUUGGCCUACGAGAUCUAAGCAAGUGCCAAGACACCAGAGCCAAAACCCAUGAUGGUCUGUGACAUGACUAUGAAGGCUGGAGUCAGAAGGAAGCAGGAUGGUACUGAAAUAAAUAACUAAAUAAAAAUACAUAGCUAUCCAGGUGUGAAUGAUUAGAAACAGAAGAUUCAGUCAAGAAAUCAGAGUCCAGGACCAAGCAUGGAA
rnacentral:lncRNA from 1 species